rnacentral:ncRNA from 2 species
CAACUCUGGAGAGACCGGUUCAAACCGGCGCCGAAGGUGCACGGAGCGCGAGUCAUCGCGCUUCAAACUCUCAGGCAAAAGGACAGAGGGGCGAG